AUUGAACGCUGGCGGCAGGCCUACCACAUGCAAGUCGAGCGGAGCGGCGGACGGGUGCGUAAUGCCUAGGAAUCUGCCUGGUAGUGGGGGAUAACGUCCGGAAAAGGGCGCUCAUACCGCAUACUAUCAGAUCAGCCUAGGGCGGAUUUGCUAGUUGGUGGGGUAAAGGCCUACCAAGGCGACGAUCCGUAACUGGUCUGAGCGGAUGAUCAGUCACACUGGAACUUAGACACGGUCCAGACUCCUACGGGAGGCAGCAGUGGGGAAUAUUGGACAAUGGGCGAAAGUCUGAUCCAGCCAUGCCGCGUGUGUGAAGAAGGUCUUCGGAUUGUAAAGCACUUUAAGUUGGGAGGCGUUACCAACAGAAUAAGCACCGGCUAACUUCGUGCCAGCAGCCGCGGUAAUUC
rnacentral:rRNA from 1 species